GGCAAACUGGAAAUUACAUUUUGCUUAUAGGCCCCAGAGCUCAGGACAGGUAGAAAGAAUGAAUAGAACCCUAAAAGAGACCCUUACCAAAUUAACCAUGGAGACUGGCGGGGACUGGGUGACUCUUCUACCGUAUGCCCUUUACUGGGUUAGGAACACUCCUUACACUCUGGGUUUUACUCCCUACGAGAUCAUGUUUGGCAGGCCCCCCCCCCCUAUUAUUCCCAACCUUCUUGCUAAGUUUAAAGAUCAAGAACUUUUUCUUUCCUUGAGAGGGCUCCAGAGGGCGCACGAGGACAUUUGGCCGCGCCUCCGUGCCAUCUACAAGGCUGGCCUGACCCCGACACCUCAUCAGUACAGGUCAGGAGACUGGGUCUACGUCAAGAGGCACCACUGAGAGACCCUCGAGCCACACUGGAAGGGACCCUACAUCGUGGUGCUGACAACCCCCACCGCUCUCAAAGUAGACGGCAUCGCAACCUGGGUCCAUCACACCCACGUUCGGCCAGCGGACCCCUCCUCAAUCCAGAAGGACUUCAUCAUGCGAUGGGCCGUCAGUGGGGACCAACACAACCCCCUCAAGCUCAAGCUACAGCGCAUUUGACCCUCCUAAUAUUGAUUCGAGGACCAGGGAAUCUGCGGCUGGGAUAUCUGAUGCAGAGCUCCUUCCUGUGGCCUGGAGGGGGUCACGGACAGAAUUGCAUGAUGAGUCCCUUUGCUCACAGGAUAACAAGAGGGACGCUUGGGUGACUGGGUCAAGUGCCGGACUUCAGCUCAGGUCAUGAUCUCAAGAUUUGUGUUGAUUAUCAUUACAUGGAUGAUAUUCUUUUUGCUGCAGAAAUGCCUACACAGAUCAAGGUUACCAGUGGUUACCCAGUCAUGGCUUAAAACCCAAGCAUGAGCCGAUCCAAGCGACCUCAGUUCACCAUGACUCCACUAGUCAAAGAGUUUCACAGAAUGUCCAUCCAGAAACUGAUAAUUGUGCCCAAUGCACCACACCCUCUUCCGAGGCACACGAGGACCAGUAACCUCCUACUUGGGGACACGUUAACAGGUUGACACAUGAUGCUGAAAAAAUAUUGAUGCAGACUUGCAGCCCACAAACACCUGCUCACCUUUUCCUUGAAAUGCUUGUGUUUAUAACUACUACAGUAAGCGCUGAUAACUAUACUUCCUGGGCUUCUAUCCCUCAUCCACCUCUAAGUCAGGAUAUGACUCAAUUGGUAUGACUCUCCCAUGCCGGUGUAUACAAAUGACACUGAAUGGACACCUGGGCCAUUUGACUGCAGAGGACUACAUAGGCCAAAUGAAGAAGUCUGGUGCCAGAGACGAGGAGGCUGUCAAUGUAUCAACCAACAGUUCGGGAUAUGCAAUGUCCUCCUACAGUCCAUCGUAUACAGACAGAAAGGGGGAGAUGCUGGAGAACAGGCUUCAAGCACCAUAAGAAUGUCCUGAAGGAAAGGGACAGAGCAGCAAGAAACUGAAAGAAGUUUCAUUCCCAGGACAGAAAGCCACUGGGAGUUAUGGUUCUCUCCAGAAGGACAUCAUCCGGGUGCCACCCUGGGGAUAAGAAUGUUUUAUCUGGUGCCAGAUGUACUCAUGACCCAGUAUGGAAAGCACUGCAGGUACAUUACCUGUCAAGAGGCCAAAUACUAUGUUGUAUGUGCUUGCUGUUGUCAACAAUUUGCAAAAAUAAAAGUGGCUUGAGCCAGGGGACUGAG